UUUCUAAAAAUCAUCACAAUAAAGGAAAGGGUCAGAAAAUAUUCUGUUAUUUACAGAGCCAGAGGGAAAGAGCUCCAGGUCUCUUGGCAUCAUGUCUUCAGUGCUGGUGGCUUCCUAUUUGCCAGUUCUAUCCUCAAGUGCCAAGAGACAG